AAUGGAAUAGCUGGGUCAAAUGGUGGUUUCAUUCCAAGUUUUCCAAGGAAUCUCCAUAUUUCUUUCCAUAUUGGUUGUACCAAUUUUCAGUCCCACCAGCAAU
rnacentral:pre_miRNA from 1 species